rnacentral:tRNA from 1 species
CCUUUGAGAGUUUAUCAAAAUACUGCUUUUUCAUUGCAGAGAUGCUGGAUAUCAACAGCACAAAGUU